ensembl:lncRNA
UGUCGGGCUCCUCCGACGCCUCGGGCUGGACACCGAAACCUCCCUUCUUAAAGCGUGUGAGGUUAGGUGAUAGCCGACACCCUCAAUAUCCCCAUCUCUGAUCGUCUAAUCUGCCUCGGAACCCCUUCAAGCCCCCUUCACCCUCACUCCUUCUGGCCCCCAUACCCAGCAUCUAAUCAUCCAUGCCCCCUACUCCUGACCCCUCCAUCCUUUCUUCUCCGGUCCCCAUCCCUGUCUUUCCCCUUCACCCUUGCCCUUCAGUCCUCUACCUCUGGGCCACCCCUAUUUCUGAAAGCUUCUUCCAGUCCCUGAUCUGGCUCAUUCCUCACUUUCAACUCCCACCUUACAUGAGUCACACUAUCCCAUGGUUGGCAUUACACUUACUCCUGUUCCCUUAUUCUUCAUUCCCAGUAAUUCCCUCCCAAAUGGUGGGGACCCUGAGCCCAGCUCUGACCAGGUAGAGCCUUUGCAGCCUGGGCUGCUGUCAUUGCCCUCUAGUAAGGGCUCAGGGUUUUGCUAAUUUUAGUCUCCCCUUCCUUCUGCCUUGGGGACGGUACUCUGCGGAGCUACUUAGGCCUGGAAAGGUACAGUAUGUAGAAGAGGACUGUGAGAUGUGAGUUAGAGGGAGAAGACGGAGGGAAUCUAGGGAACAAGGCAGCCUAUUGGAGAUGCGGACAGGACAGACACGUUGAGAAGCUGCAGGGAGCAGGGCACCAAGGGAGUGUGCACUGUGCUUGCUCAGAGAGGCCAAACCCUGCUCCCAGGCUGAAGCCUGGAGUCUGCCCCCACUUCCCUUUUCUAUAAUCCACCCUUGUGCAGGUCCCGGAAUCCGAAGGGCUUAGUCAGUACCUUGCCACUCUACCCCUGACAUGUCACCCGAGUAGAAGCUGGGCAAGGCCCCCCUAUCCUGGCCAUCUUUUCACAAGCCCAAGGUGCUAGAACUAGCUUAGGAGACAUGCAGGCCACGCGGCUUCUAGGCAGGGAAAGGGCACACACACUCGGUCAGCGUGCAGAGCAGUGAUGCUGGAGGACACACCAUGGGGUGAAGUCAUCCCAAGGCUGACAGCUCAGCUUUCACCUUGCCUCUGGCCUUGUAUUUCACACCCUGCUCAGUAUGGCUAGCCAGCAAUCCUAAGUAGGAGUCCAGGACCCCUACUGUCCCAAUCCGCAAAUUGUUCCUAUCCAGGUUCAGGGCCUUCAGGGGGCCUCUUUUCAUUUUCUCCCACAGGCCUCUCUUUCUUUCUAGGUUGCUGGGGAGAGAUGGGUGCCCUAUGGUCCCCCUCCCCUCCUCCUCCAGUAAGUACCUGGAGGAGGGAACCUGAAUCCCUGGGGGAGACAGACGGGGUAGGGGCCACCGGCCUCCCCCUUCUUGUGGUGAGACUGAAUUUUGGGCUCAGACACCAGCAACAGCCUCCUGGGAUGCCCCGAGUUGCUUCCCAUUUCCUCUUUCUAGCCACCCUUUUCUAGUGUGUGCCCACUCUUCCUUGGAACUUUUAAGACUUCUUGGUACAUAUGAACAUAAGUCCUCCCCUCACCCCAACUCUAGGUUUCCAGGCCUCCCAGCCAAGCUGAGGCUUGGAGAAAACUCUGCAUUCCCAUGAGGGCAAAGGCAGCUGCCCUCCCUGACCCUCUAGCCCCAGGCCUCAUGGGGGAUAUGUGGGGAAGGGAUGGGGUAUCCCCAUGGAUGCUGGGAUGAGGACAGAGGAAUACCUGAUGGGGUCUCCUAUUCCAGGGAAUAAGCCAAAUUAACACUAAAAACGGAUCAAAGCUCCCACGCCAGUCCACUAGGGCCCCAGUAGUUGACAGCCUUGCUCCUCUCCCCAAGUUCUCCUUCAGUUACAACCUAGUUGCUUUUAUUCUUCCAGCUACCACUUGGGCACUUCACAGCCAGCCUAGGGUCUUCGGCACCUCCAAGAGCUGAAACUCCCUCCAACCCUUCUUGCCUACUCCUCACUGCCAGCUGGGACCUAGGCUCAGUCCUGUGUGGUGCCCAUGAUCCUUCUGGUGGGGGAAGAGUUUAAGUUAUAGGGCAUUUGGCUCAAAUUUUAAAAGGCCUUUUCUUUACAUGUAUUUCUGGAGGCUCCUGUAGUUCUAGAACCCAAUCUCUCACGUGGCAGGUUGCAAGGCUAUUUUUUUGUACCUUUCCUACAGAUUCUGUAGCAUUUGAGUGUGGCAAUAUUUUAAUUGUGUAUAGAUUUCUAAAAACCAACACUACUCAGUCUCCUGCUAGUCUGGCUCCUGAAGCAUCAGCCCUUGUCAUACUGUAUUGACUGUGUACGUGCCUUUCACCUUGAGCAUGCUUCAGGAUUUUUUUUUUUUUUAAACCACAGAACUUGAAUACAUGAGGGAACCAGAGUUCAAAGUCCUAUGCAACCUUAGGAGGGGGUUAGAGAUUCUGUUUUGAUCGAUGUUUUCAGAGGCCCUAGAGUUUGUACCAGUUUGAGAGUAUUAAUGUCAGUACUACCAGCACUUUGCCAAAACUGUGUCAGAGGGACCCCUGUUUCUAGAGUGAGUCCCAGUUACAUCAAAGAGGGACUUCCAGUUAUUCCCCAGUUAAGUCUGAGUGGGUCCUUCAAGCUGGGUGUCUUUCCAGUCUUUGCCAGUCUAGUCCUAGUAGGGCACCGUGUGUGUAUGAAUGCAGUUUGGUGCUGUUUUAGAGUAUGCCUGCUCCCCAGCCCCCUGCCUGGAACCCUCUAAUCAACUUGCUCUGACCUAUAAUGUCUUAGGUGCAACAAGGACCCCAUCAGAGCUCUUGGAUACCCCCCUAGAUCCAUGUGGCUUUACAUGAGGGGACUGAAUGCAGACAUACCAUAGCCCCCUUCUACUACUUUCCCUCUCGCCCUGCCACCUAGUUCCACAUGGAACCAACAAGUUGAGUGCAUCCCUGUUGGGUGUUUUGAGACUGGCUGAAAUGAGGAGAUUUUGACCAUGUGACGUGUCAACAGACUCAAGGAAACAACCACCUCAACUGGGUCAUGUGGCAUGCCUGUGUAUGUGUGUAACAGAAUUCUGAUUGUUAGACUGUAAUGCUAUUCCUCUAUGGGAGAAAAAAAUUAAUAUAAAGAAAAACAAAUAAAAAUCUAUUUAAAGCA